rnacentral:lncRNA from 1 species
GAGAGUCUCCACUCUGACUGGAGACACAGCCCUGCUUCAGGGAGCCCCGGUCUGAGGGGAGACACAGCCCUGCCCCCAGGGAGCCCCAGUCUGAGGGGAGACACAGCCCUGCCCCCAGGGAGCCCCAGUCUGAGGGGAGACACAGCCCUGCCCUCAGGGAGCCCCAGUCUGAGGGGAGACACAGCCCUGCCCCCAGGGAGCCCCAGUCUGAGGGGAGACACAGCCCAGAGACUUAAGAGAAAGAAGUAUCAAAUAAGCUGGGCCUUUGGGAAACAGGGUUCAUCCUUCCCCAUCCACUUCAUUACUUGUACAGAGAAGGCCAAGGACUCCUCAGAUCAAGAAACUGAGGCCCAGAAUGGAGAAAAGAAUUAACUAGAACAACCAUCUCUGGAAUAACUUCAUUUGCCAGGACUGUGGCAUUCCUCUGUGGCUCUGAAGUGUGGCUUGCUCCUGACUCCAGAAGCAGGCGUCCCAGACAUUGGGGAAGAAGGAGGAGAUGUUCUCUCAGGCCACCUCCCAGAGGAGAUGUGGACUGUGCCUGCAGACCCUUCCAUUUCCUACCAAGUGUGGGACAGGUGGGCCAGAUCGUGUCCACGUUUGGAGAUGGCAUUAGAGGGGAUGUGGUUCAGCUUCUACGGCUCCCCUGCCUGGGAGAUUGGGAUGGAGAGAGCCCUUUGCCCCUGAGCCCACUUGAGCUGCUUUCCUCAGGCUGCCUUGCCCUCAGAACCUCGGGACCAGAGGGUGAGCCUGCCUCCUGUGGGCCACAACCCUCUCAAGAAGGGCAAGAAGCCCACCAGCCCUGCGGGGAGAGGAGCAUUGAGGGGAUUAAAUAAAUUGGCACUUAAUUUUUUUUUAAUUCAUUUUUUUUUCUUUUUUUUUUAAAAAUUUAUUUAUGAUAGUCACAGAGAGAGAGAGAGAGAGAGAGGCAGAGACACAGGCGGAGGAAGAAGCAGGCUCCAUGCACAGGGAGCCUGAUGUGGGAUUCGAUCCCGAGUCUCCAGGAUCGCGUCCUGGGCCAAAGGCAGGCGCCAAACCGCUGCGCCACCCAGGGAUCCCAAUUGGCACUUAAUUAACAACAUCACAUUUCCAGAAGCAGUCCCCCCUUAUCUGUGGGCUUAUCCCCCAGUGGAUGCUGAAACUGCGGAUAGCACUGAAGCUUCUAUACACUAUGUUUUUUCCUACACAUACAUGUCCAUGAUAAAGUUUAAUUUAUAAAUUAGGCACAGUAAUAG